GACAACAAAUGAAAUAUCGUAUGCAAAGGGUCAUAACGCGGCGAAAUACACUCAGUGUAUCAAUAAAAAUCGGUGGCAUAACGAUAUAAAAAUGUUGAGAUCCACUAAAAAUCGCAUGUUUAGCAAUGAAAAGAUUCAAAGGAAAUAGGAUAAAAACCUACAAGUAUCACACUUUAUUAAUCAUUAAAAUUGCGUAAUUACAAUGAAUUGUAAUCAGAAUAAAA
rnacentral:lncRNA from 1 species